UACGAGAGGCCCGAACGUUAUUCGGAAUUACUGGGCUUAAAGAGUUCGUAGGCGGCAUUGCAAGUAGGGUGUGAAAGCCCUCGGCUCAACCGAGGAAUUGCGCUCUAAACUGCAGUGCUCGAGGAAGCUAGAGGUGAGCAGAACAGAUGGUGGAGCGGUGAAAUGCGCAGAUAUCAGGAGGAACACCUAUUGCGAAGGCAGCUCGCUGGGACGUAACUGACGCUGAGACGCGAAAGCGUGGGGAGCAAACAGG
rnacentral:rRNA from 1 species